rnacentral:lncRNA from 1 species
UAUUGCUCUUGUUUUUUUUAAAUUAGCAAUUGUGAAAAAUAUAAUUACAUAUUUAAAUCAGCUGUUGAGUGAGACUGCUAUAGGAGUAUAUAAAUGUCUAGAUCAUCUGUAAGUUGGAAUUUUCUAAAUAAGUUGUGCUGGUUAGCCUUAAAAUAAAUGUUAUAAAAACUGUCUUUUCUUCCUCCUGUCCCCAAAAUAAGAUUAAGAAGAAAAGGCAGACUUCAUUGACUGUUGUUUGUACCUAAACAAACAAAUGAUAUUUCAUGUCACAGUCUACAAUCUUGCUCCUCAAAAUUUGGUCUGAGAACCCACAACAUUGCUAUCAUCUGAAACUUGUUAGAAAUGCAAAGUGUAAGGCUGACCUCUAGACCUACUGAAUUGGAAUCUUCAUUUUAACAAGGUCCCCAGUGAACAAA